CGAAAAAUAAAACCAAACUUAUCAUCAUCUAAAAUCGUUGACGUCGCUGGAAUUACCUUUGUUUUCUUAGUUGUCCAUGUGUUUUAGAAUAAAUAUUGCCACAUCUUGAAUUUUUGAGUAGUUUUUCGCUUAAUUUUCAACAUGUAUGUCGGUGUAUUUUUGUUGAUUUGGUCGUGGAUACUUUUUUUCUUGCAUUCAACCAGUUUUACUUACAUUCCCACAAUAUUUUUGUCAUUUUGGUCCUAGAUAUAAGAAGACUAGCAAAUGGGCUAUGGGAUUGAAAUCUAACCAUCAGUUAGGGUAAACAGGUUUAAAAUUUUAAUUUCUGAUUUUUUGUUUUCGAAAUAUUGAUAUUGCUACAGAGUAUUUUAGCAGUUCUUCAAAAUUAUUAUCCAAUUACAAAAGUAAAUAUGUGUAUUUUUAUGGUUGUCUUUGCCAUGCGUUUUUAUUUCUUUUAUGUCGUAAACUGUCAGGAUUUCUCCAUAUUUCUUGGAGCUUUUGGUACAUUAUCCAAGUUCUUGUGAUACAAUGUCAGCAUUUUUAAUUUAACAUAUUUUAAGUGUAAUGAAGCUCUUUAACAUCCUCUUUGUUGGUUGUGAUAGUUCUAAAUAAACUGAGAAUUUUAGUAGUUUCCCCACAUUACAACCCGUUUUAGCAAAUUGGCAAUAGUCAGUCCAAAUGUUGGAUGUUGGAACAUUAUUUUGAUCAAAUCUUGUGUUUUUGAAGGUUAUUAUUCAAGUAUUAAUGCUUAUCUUUUAUUACAUUGCAUUAUGUCAGACUAAGUUUUAGUGCACCGGGCUUUCCUUUUACUCUGAUCAUGUUUUUAAUUUUGAGGCCAUGUCUCCAUGUAUUGUCGUCUAUGACUAAAUGAAUUCUUUGUCUUCUUAAAAUAGGAAGGUAAAUAAGUUCGAUGAAUUAGAUCCUUCACACCUUGCAAGCUUGGUAACUGGAGAUCUCGAAGGCACAUAGUGAUUUUUGGUUUUUCAAAGUAGCAGCUGCUAAAGGUGGGAAAGUAAAGGACUUCACUUGCAUCGACUCUAAGGGGUUUGGAAGAACACGGGGAUCGUUACAGGCACUCUUAUGAUAGCAAGUUAUAUGGACCAUAUGAUGCUAAAGUUAGUGUUGGAACAAAUAUCUUUCACCGAUAUGUAUAAGGAGAUCACUCUCUUGCUGUUUCAUAUUGCACCUUUCAAUGGUUAUAGCCAUAUAGGAGGUGUAAUAUUUUGUAUACUUUCUGUCUUCUUGAAGAGAAACUCUCUUCUGUAAGUGGAAUGGAUUCACAUAUCAUUAUUAAUAGUUUUCUUUCAUUUUUCCAAUUAAUAAAGGGAUGCAACUUUGCUGCCAACAA